GGAAGCAGAACAGCCAGAGUUGGCCACAUUUUAAAUGUUUCACAAAAAAACAACCAGUGUGGGAGCUUGAGAAAAGUUAUCCUGGUUCAUUCAUGCUUCCACUGUCACUUCAAAAUAAAUAUCAGGAAAGGAUCAUGAUUGUCUUAGUCCAUUGGAUUAAUAUAACAAAAAUAACCAGAGUUGCAUGGUUUAGACAAAAGACAUUUAUUUCUCACAAUUCUGAAGGCUAGAAGUCUAAGAUCAAGGUUCUGGCAGGUUGAGUGUCUGGUGAGGGCCUGCCUUCUUGUUCAUAGAUGGUGUGUCCUGGAUGUGUCCUCACAUGGUGGAAGGGCUGAGGCAUCUCUCUGGGAUCUCUUUUCUAAGAGUGCUAAUCCAUUAAUUACGGCUUCACAGUCAUGACCUAAUCACUUCCCCAAAACCCUGCCUCCUAAGACCAUCAUUGCCUUGGGGGUGAGGAUUUCAUUAUACAGAUUAUGGAGGGAGACAAAUAUUCACUCCACAACAAUGGUCAGAUCCCAUGGAAAGCUAAAUAUGGUGGUGCACACUCGUAAUCCCGAUGGCUUGGGAAGCUGAGGCAGUAGGAAUGUAAGUUCAAAGCCAGCCUUAGCAACUUAACAAGGCCCUAAGCAACUUAGCGAGACCCUGUCUCAAAAUUUAAGAAAAGGUGGAGGUGUACUGGGGAUAUGGAUCAAUGGUCAAGUGCCUCUGGGUUCAACUUCUGCACCCAAAUAAAUAAAUAAUCACAUGGAAAGCUAUUAUAGGACAAAAGAAUAAUGAGCAGAAUAUUAUUCUUACAAACAAGAAAAUUUUCCAGGAAGGUAUGCCCAGAAACAGACACAAAAAUAGGACCUAAUAAUGCAUCAGUCGCUGAGGAAAAUCAAGUUGGUCAGGGACUGGUUAUUACUGAAGCUAGGGAUGUAUGGAGAGGGGGG
rnacentral:lncRNA from 1 species